CGUGAAACCACGCGUGAUUUCAUCUCGCGGGCUUUGGAUCGUGGUUUAAAAAAGGCAUCCAUCUCAGUCAAGUCGAGCAGCCAACUCUACGUUUUUGGAGUCAGCUGAUGGAUUGUGGGUUCAAGGUGUUAUGAUAAAAUGCAGCAUUCCAGUGCAUCCCAACCAUGCCUUUACAGUCAAGGUUUCUGACGGAGCUGAGUUUCUCUCUGACAGUCUGCUGAAAGUGUUUGCAAAGUGAUCGGGGGAACAGGGCACAAAGCUAAAGGAUGUAGCUGCCAUAAUGACAUCAAGGAUGACAUUAAUGCUCGGAGUCCCUCAUCAAAGUGCUCCGCAUCUGUGUGAAAGACAAUUGCAACAUCUUGGUGCAGGAGUUCAUGGACUUGACUGAGGCCACUGCACAGAUUGAGAAAACCAC
ensembl:lncRNA